UUCCCAAUCCUCGCCCACUCGCUCGUCACUUGAUCGCUCUUCACCGCCCUCGAUCGCUGCCUCCGCUUGCGUCUCCUCGUUCCAUGCUUCGGUUCCCUUCCUCUUACAGGGUCAUCGAUCAAGCCCGCCCUUGAUCGUCCUUCAGCUCGCUGCUCGGGGAGGUUCUUUGCUCGUUCGCUGCGCGUCGGCGAGACAGGUCCUGUUGUCAGCAUCUUCAACUGCUUUACUGAGUACCAGUUGCUAGCUCUUCGGUUCUCCAUCUUCGUGUCAAGGUUUGCUUUCAGCCGUGGGCUCUCUGUUUUGCCUCGUCCUGUUACUGUCGAUUGCUUGCUCUUUUCGUACUGACCAGCCGUUGCGUAUGUGUUGCUGUUUUGUUCUUCCUUCUGCUGGGCGGCUUACUUUUUUUAUACGGCAGCUGACAUUUCAUUCUUAUACUCGAGUCUGCUAGCAUCCAUGCAUUCCAUAGUUACGUUCUUCUCUCAUGUAUUGUGCGGCUUCCUGUUCAAGGCCUUCAUUCAUUAUUGGUAUUAGAGCAAUGUUGUUGUGCCUGCUCUCUGCUUGUGUAGUGUGGGAAAUUGUGACAUGAAUAAAAUAAAUUGUACUUGCUACAUCCCUUGCACGUUUUACGCCUUUGUUACUGUGAUGUAUUGCCAUCUAUCCUUUGAUCUGCUUAUGACUUUUCCCAAUUUGUGUCCCCUGUUUUUUCACUUAAACUUGUUAGUUUGUUGUUCUUGUGCUCUGCCUUGCUGCAGUGCAGUUAUGGUUCUCUUCUGGUUUUUUGAGGGGUAUGGUCUAGCGCCGACGUUAUGCCUCCACGGCGCACUGCUCCUCUCAGGGUUCCUGUGCCUCUUUUGGCAGUUAGACCCCCAAGAAGGGCCGUUCAAUGUGUAGCUCCUGUGCCUGUAUUGCCAGUGACACCAAUUCCUCCAGAGGUUCUUGUGCCUCUUUUGCCGGUGAGACCCCCACGUCGAGUGGUGCAACGCCCAGUUCCUGUGCCUGUAUUGCCAGUAAAAUCAGCUCCUUUGGUCGUACGAAGAAGAAAAUGUAUGUUGUCUUUACCUUCAUGGUCUCUCCUGCUCUUUGGUACCUUGACCUCCUUGCCGGGCCUUGACUUCUUAAUUUAGCCAUGCUCUGCCUGCCAAUAAGGGAUGGUUUCUUUCCUCUUCUUCCUCCUGAUGUUACUGCACAAAACCGUAAAAGAUGCAGGUUAUUCUUGAAUAGGUUGCGAGCUCAUAACAAGCUUUAAUGGCGCAUUGAGGGUGCUUCAAAGCAGUGGAUCGGUCUUUCCAUGAUGUUCUAUCUGCCAUUGAUCCUGCACUGGCCGAUGUUCCAUUCGGUGGUUAAGUUGUUUUUGUAGGAGGUGACCUAAGGCAGAUUUUGCUGGUCAUUGAGGGUGGCAGUAGGGCACACAUUGUGGGUUCUGCAGUUACGCACUCUAUUGAGAUUUUGCACCUUAACAUCAACAUGCGCCUAACCAUGCAAACUGAUUAUCCUCUGUUACAGAGUGAGGUUGCUGCUUUUGCACAGUGGGUUCUUAUUAUUGGAGAUGGGACAGCCCCUGCUGUUGCACGGAAGCAGAAUCGCUCCCUUCAUGGGUAACUAUUCCUCAUGAGUUCUUGGUGCAUACUACUGGUGAUAAGAUUGAUGCUAUUGUCCAGGCGGUCUAUGUGAAUUUAGUGUCCAGGUACUCUGAUCCUUCUUAUUUGCGAGGGAGAGCUAUCCUGACACCAACAAAUGAUAUGGCUGAAAAGAUAAAUGACCAUGUUCUUUCAUUGCUGCCUUUGGAUGACAGAGAGUACUUAAGCUUUGAUUCCGUAGGAAACUCUUCAGAUGGCGUACGAAAUAUAGAUGCUUUCUAUCAUGUUGAGUGCCUGAACAAGAUUAAGAUUAACAAUUUCCCAUGGCAUAGGUUGGUCCUUAAAGCAGGUGUGCCCAUUAUGCUACUUAGAAAUUUAAACCAGUCAGCGGGCCUGUGCGAUGGCACUCGACUUAUAGUAACAAAGCUUGCUGACAAAGUAAUUGAAGCGGUUGUUAUCACUGGCUCUAAUGUUGGCGACGUCGUUUACAUCCCAAGAAUAUGUUUGACAUCCAAGCAACCUAAAUGGCCAUUUAAUUGCAUAGGAACCAAUUUCCUGAUAGGGUUUGCUAUGCUAUGACAAUUAGUAAAAGCCACUGGCAGAUCCUUGCCAACGUUGGUUUGUAUCUCAAUUUGCCUGUCUUCGCGCAUGGCCAAGUAUAUGUCGCCGUGUCCCGUGUGACCUCAAAGGUAGCUUUAAAUGUGUUGAUUGAAAAUGAAGAUGGCACUACUGGUUCUCAGACAAGGAACAUUGUGUUCCCUGAGAUAUUUCAGAUGGUUUCUUAAAUACCAUGUCCAUAAUGUUUUUGUCUUGUACAUACAAUUGCCUCCUCUCUAGAUAUUGCAUUGCAUCUCAUAAUCUUUUGUCAUCGCUGCGUCCCUUAAGCUCUUGUCCUUGCUACCUUUUGACAAAUUUAUGUUCAUAUUAUAGUCUUUUUUUUAAUUUAUGUUCAUAUGCCUGUUCUGAAUGCACUAUGUUUUGUUUGUGCUCAAUACUACUUGGCUGCAUGUACUAUGGCCUCCUACUUAUCUGCCGCAUCUCAUGAAUAAUCUGUUUGCUAUUAAACGUACAAGCUUCCAUUUGCGUGUUGCUUUUGGUUUCUUCUUUCCUGAUGCCUGUAUUACGGUGCUUCCUUGCCGCCUUUCCAGCCUCUGUUCUUUUCUUUCUUUCUUCUAAGGUGAGUGCAUAUGCAUUUUUUCUUCAUUUGUUUCCUCUUUCCUUACCAUUCACCCCCUCUGGUUUAUGUUAUGCUUGUAGAUGGCCAAGAAUACAAUUAGCUUGCUUUCACAGAUACAUGACAAGGAAAUCAACUGGAAUGUGUGUGUGUUCCUCUCUCAUCUAUGACAUUAUCGUCGGACAAGCGAUGACGGCCCAAUUCUGCAUACUAACCUUGUGGUUAUCGAUCAAGAGGGAACCACCACAUGUAUCCACAGCUUCCUCCUGAGGCAUCUGAACACUUGAAGGAUGUUCUAGGGGAAGGAAAGGUCUCCCUCAUGAAGAAGUUCAUGUGCAACAAUCGAAGUCAUCUUUCAGGGCUGUUGAGAGCCCUUACAUGAUUCAGUUCACUCGAUACAGCACCGCUGUGCCUCAGCCAGGUC